AUUGAAGGCGGGCGGGAGGCCUAACACAUGCAAGUCGAGCGGAGCGGCGGACGGGCGAGUAAUGCCUAGGAAUCUGCCUGGUAGCGGGGGAUAACGUCCGGAAACGGGUGCUAAUAUCGCAUACUAUCAGAUGAGCCUAGGUCGGGUUAGCUAGUUGGGGCGGUAAAGGCUUACCAAGGCGACGAUCCGUAACUGGUCUGAGAGGAUGAUCAGUCACACUGGAACUGAGACACGGUCCAGACUCCUACGGGAGGCAGCAGUGGGGAAUAUUGGACAAUGGGCGAAAGCCUGAUCCAGCCAUGCCGCGUGUGUGAAGAAGGUCUUCGGAUUGUAAAGCACUUUAAGUUGGGAGGCGUUACCAACAGAAUAAGAACCGGCUAACUUCGUGCCAGCCGCCGCGGUAAUAC
rnacentral:rRNA from 1 species